rnacentral:rRNA from 1 species
GAUGAACGCUGGCGGCGUGCCUAAUACAUGCAAGUCGAGCGAACAGACGAGGCGCUUGCUCCUUUGACUUUAGCGGCGCACGGGUGAGUAACAUGUGUAUAACCCACCUAUAUGACUGGGAUAACUUCGUGAAACCGGAGCUAAUACCCGAUAACCUGCUGAACCGCAUGGUUCAACAGUUAAAGACGUCUUUGCUGCCACUUAUCGCUGGUUCCGCGCCGCAUUAGCUAGUUGGUAAGGUAACGGCUUACCAAGGCGACGAUGCGUAGCCGAGCUGAGAGGGUGAUCGGCCACACUGGAACUGAGACACGGUCCAGACUCCUACGGGAGGCAGCAGUAGGGAAUCUUCCGCAAUGGGCGAAAGCCUGACGGAGCAACGCCGCGUGAGUGAAGAAGGUCUUCGGAUCGUAAAGCUCUGUUAUUGGGGAAGAACAGAUGUGUAAGUAACUAUGCACGUAUUGACGGUACCUGAUCAAAAAGCCACGGCUAACUACGUG